GUUUCCGACUUGAGUUGCCUCAAGAGGGGCGUGCUGAGCCAGACCUCCAUCGCGCACUCCGGGGAGUGGAGGGAAGGAGCGAGGGCUCAGUUGGGCUGUUUUGGAGGCAGGAAGCACUUGCUCUCCCAAAGUCGCUCUGAGUUGUUAUCAGUAAGGGAGCUGCAGUGGAGUAGGCGGGGAGAAGGCCGCACCCUUCUCCGGAGGGGGGAGGGGAGUGUUGCAAUACCUUUCUGGGAGUUCUCUGCUGCCUCCUGGCUUCUGAGGACCGCCCUGGGCCUGGGAGAAUCCCUUCCCCCUCUUCCCUCGUGAUCUGCAACUCCAGUCUUUCUAGAAGAUGGGCGGGAGUCUUCUGGGCAGGCUUAAAGGCUAACCUGGUGUGUGGGCGUUGUCCUGCAGGGGAAUUGAACAGGUGUAAAAUUGGAGGGACAAGACUUCCCACAGAUUUUCGGUUUUGUCGGGAAGUUUUUUAAUAGGGGCAAAUAAGGAAAAUGGGAGGAUAGGUAGUCAUCUGGGGUUUUAUGCAGCAAAACUACAGGUUAUUAUUGCUUGUGAUCCGCCUCGGAGUAUUUUCCAUCGAGGUAGAUUAAAGACAUGCUCACCCGAGUUUUAUACUCUCCUGCUUGAGAUCCUUACUACAGUAUGAAAUUACAGUGUCGCGAGUUAGACUAUGUAAGCAGAAUUUUAAUCAUUUUUAAAGAGCCCAGUACUUCAUAUCCAUUUCUCCCGCUCCUUCUGCAGCCUUAUCAAAAGAUCAUUCCUUGAGGACAGGACAGUGCUUGUUUAAGGCUAUAUUUCUGCUGUCUGAGCAGCAACAGGUCUUCGAGAUCAACAUGAUGUUCAUAAUCCCAAGAUGUUGCCAUUUAUGUUCUCAGAAGCAAGCAGAGGCAUGAUGGUCAGUGACAGUAAUGUCACUGUGUUAAAUGUUGCUAUGCAGUUUGGAUUUUUCUAAUGUAGUGUAGGUAGAACAUAUGUGUUCUGUAUGAAUUAAACUCUUAAGUUACACCUUGUAUAAUCCAUGCAAUGUGUUAUGCAAUUACCAUUUUAAGUAUUGUAGCUUUCUUUGUAUGUGAGGAUAAAGGUGUUUGUCAUAAAAUGUUUUGAACAUUUCCCCAAAGUUCCAAAUUAUAAAACCACAACGUUAGAACUUAUUUAUGAACAAUGGUUGUAGUUUCAUGCUUUUAAAAUGCUUAAUUAUUCAAUUAACACCGUUUGUGUUAUAAUAUAUAUAAAACUGACAUGUAGAAGUGUUUGUCCAGAACAUUUCUUAAAUGUAUACUGUCUUUAGAGAGUUUAAUAUAGCAUGUCUUUUGCAACAUACUAACUUUUGUGUUGGUGCGAGCAAUAUUGUGUAGUCAUUUUGAAAGGAGUCAUUUCAAUGAGUGUCAGAUUGUUUUGAAUGUUAUUGAACAUUUUAAAUGCAGACUUGUUCGUGUUUUAGAAAGCAAAACUGUCAGAAGCUUUGAACUAGAAAUUAAAAAGCUGAAGUAUUUCAGAAGGGAAAUAAGCUACUUGCUGUAUUAGUUGAAGGAAAGUGUAAUAGCUUAGAAAAUUUAAAACCAUAUAGUUGUCAUUGCUGAAUAUCUGGCAGAUGAAAAGAAAUACUCAGUGGUUCUUUUGAGCAAUAUAACAGCUUGUUAUAUUAAAAAUUUUCCCCACAGAUAUAAACUCUAAUCUAUAACUCAUAAAUGUUACAAAUGGAUGAAGCUUACAAAUGUGGCUUGACUUGUCACUGUGCUUGUUUUAGUUAUGUGAAAGUUUGGCAAUAAACCUAUGUCCUAAAUAGUCAAA
rnacentral:lncRNA from 1 species